rnacentral:rRNA from 1 species
AGAGUUUGAUCCUGGCUCAGAAUCAACGCUGGCGGCGCGCUUAACACAUGCAAGUCGCACGAGAAAGGGAGCAAUCCUAAGUAAAGUGGCGCACGGGUGAGUAACACGUGGAUCAUCUACCUUUUAGUGGGGAAUACCUCUGGGAAACCGGAGACAAUACCGCAUAAGCCCGCAAGGGGAAAGCAGCAAUGCGCUGAAAGAGGAGUCCGCGGCCGAUUAGCUAGUUGGCGGGGUAAUGGCCCACCAAGGCGAAGAUCGGUAGCCGGCCUGAGAGGGCACACGGCCACACUGGCACUGAAACACGGGCCAGACUCCUACGGGAGGCAGCAGUGGGGAAUCUUGCACAAUGGGCGAAAGCCUGAUGCAGCGACGCCGCGUGAGCGAUGAAGCCCUUCGGGGUGUAAAGCUCUUUUGACGGGAACGAUAAUGACGGUACCCGGAGAAGAAGCUGCGGCUAACUACGUGCCAGCAGCCGCGGUAAUACGUAGGCAGCGAGCGUUGUUCGGAAUUACUGGGCGUAAAGAGUGUGUAGGCGGUGCUCCCAGUCUGUUGUGAAAUCUCCCGGCUUAACUGGGAGGGUGCAGCGGAAACUAGAGUGCUAGAGGGUGGGAGAGGUAAGCGGAAUUCCUGGUGUAGCGGUGAAAUGCGUAGAUAUCAGGAGAAACACCUGUGGUGUAGACAGCUUACUGGACCACUUCUGACGCUGAGACACGAAAGCGUGGGUAGCAAACAGGAUUAGAUACCCUGGUAGUCCACGCCCUAAACGAUGCAUACUUGGUGUGAGCGAUUCAUUUCGUUCGUGCCGGAGCUAACGCGUUAAGUAUGCCGC